rnacentral:misc_RNA from 1 species
AAGUCGUAACAAGGUUUCCGUAGGUGAACCUGCGGAAGGAUCAUUAUCGAUUCCAAAAUAAUAAACAUUAAUUUUGUUGAUGGAAAUGUUUUUCCAUCAUCAUCAUUAUUAUUAUUAGCCAUGUGCUGUAUAGUGCAUGCAAAAUUGGCACAUAGUUAUGUGCAAAAAACAAAAAUGUCGAACGCAUUGUUUCUUUUCAAUGAAAAUCGAAAGGAAAUGGAAGCACUUGAUUAGUUGUUUUUCUUUCUGGGUACUUAUACACAGUAUAAAUGACAAAUCCGUCAUGACAUUCGCCCAGAGAAAAAUUUAAAAUCAUUGUGUUUACAAAAACCCCUUUGUCGUAAUUGUGGCAACACAUUGCGAUUUAUGUGCUAUUACAAACAAAAUCAAAUUUUAUUCAACCCUAAGCGGGGGAUCACUUGGUUUGUGG